ACCUUUUGGUAACUUGAAGCAACAAGGAAUUGGUACACAGAUUCAAGACUGAAAUGAAGAAGGUUUUUUAGAUGACAUACUUAGGAAAGUGGAAUGGAGGUGCAUCAAUGGUGAAGAUGGUAUGUUCAUCAAUCAAGAGAAGUAUGCCAAAGAAAUCUUAAAGAAAUUUGGUAUGGAAAAUUGCAAAUCCCAUUUGGAACUCACUGGCCUAAAAUGAAAAGCUAAU
rnacentral:lncRNA from 1 species